AACGAACGCUGGCGGCAGGCUUAACGCAUGCAAGUCGAACGGACGUAGCAAUACGUUAGUGGCAGACGGGUGAGUAACGCGUGGGAAUGUGCCCUUUAGUUCGGAAUAACACAGAGAAAUUUGUGCUAAUACCGGAUAAUCCCGAGAGGGGAAAGAUUUAUCGCUGAAGGAGCAGCCUGCGUCUGAUUAGCUAGUUGGUGAGGUAAUGGCUCACCAAGGCGACGAUCAGUAGCUGGUCUGAGAGGAUGAUCAGCCACACUGGGACUGAGACACGGCCCAGACUCCUACGGGAGGCAGCAGUGGGGAAUAUUGGACAAUGGGGGCAACCCUGAUCCAGCCAUGCCGCGUGAGUGAUGAAGGCCUUAGGGUUGUAAAGCUCUUUUGUCCGGGAAGAUAAUGACUGUACCGGAAGAAUAAGCCCCGGCUAACUUCGUGCCAGCCGCCGCCGUAACAC
rnacentral:rRNA from 1 species